GACGAACGCUGGCGGCGUGCUUAACACAUGCAAGUCGAACGGCAAGGCCCUGCUUUUGUGGGGUGCUCGAGUGGCGAACGGGUGAGUAACACGUGAGUAACCUGCCCUUGACUUUGGGAUAACUUCAGGAAACUGGGGCUAAUCCCGGAUAGGAGCUCCUGCUGCAUGGUGGGGGUUGGAACGUUUCGGCGGUUGGGGAUGGACUCGCGGCUUAUCAGCUUGUUGGUGGGGUAGUGGCUUACCCAGGCAUGGACGGGUAGCCGGCCUGAGAGGGUGACCGGCGACAUUGGGACUGAGAUACGGCCCAGACUCCUACGGGAGGCAGCAGUGGGGAAUAUUGCACAAUGGGCGGAAGCCUGAUGCAGCAACGCCGCGUGCGGGAUGACGGCCUUCGGGUUGUAAACCGCUUUCGCCUGUGACGAAGCGUGAGUGACGGUAAUGGGUAAAGAAGCACCGGCUAACUACGUG
rnacentral:rRNA from 1 species